UACGAAGGGGGCUAGCGUUGUUCGGAAUUACUGGGCGUAAAGCGCACGUAGGCGGACUAUUAAGUCAGGGGUGAAAUCCCGGGGCUCAACCCCGGAACUGCCUUUGAUACUGGUAGUCUCGAGUCCGGAAGAGGUGAGUGGAAUUCCGAGUGUAGAGGUGAAAUUCGUAGAUAUUGGGAAGAACACCGGUGGCGAAGGCGGCUCUCUGGACCGAUACUGACGCUGAGGCGCGAAAGCGUGGGGAGCAAACAGG
rnacentral:rRNA from 1 species